UCAGGGGUUAACACCAGGAAACUGUCUGGCUGCUUCCCUGGCUCAGCUCAACAAGAGUUGCAACACGCAUUUACUGUAUGCAGAAAGAUGCUUUGGAGAACAGGUUGAGAAUAGUUCUUUGUGGUUCUUUGUAGCAAUCAGUUAAGAUAUUGGAACACUCUUCAUGACAAAGGAAAACAAUUCCCUCCCAUAACUAGUUGUGGCAGAAAAAAAGACUUGGGGAGAAUGAAUUGUCUCUCAACAAAUUUUGGUUUGCCAGGAUGUUUGGGGAACAGAAAGACUAAUGGACCAGAAUGCAAGGAGCCAGCUGCUGCGUAAAUGAUAUGCAUGAAAUGCAUUGGCUUGCCCGUCAUGGCUGCCCGCCUUUCCAAUGAAUUAGAAGCCUUUUGUCCUGCUUUGGCAUCAAUUCAACUGACUAGCAAGACUUUUAUCACUGUCUAAGCCAUUCAAGGCGAUGUGUAUACUUUCUUCAGUCUGAUGUGGAGGGUGGCCCUUGAUCACUCAGGUGGCCCUUGAUCUGCACAAUAAUAAUUAUCUGUACUUUCCCCACUUCAGUAGUAUUUAUUUUUUUGAGGGGUUGUUUUCAAGUGGUCUUGCCAUGCAUAUAUAUCAUAGUUUAUAGGAGGCAUAGUCCUCCAUCCGUCCUCCAAUUUGCUAGUAAGCCACACUGUUUUCUCUCUUAGAAACCCAGACUGGAUUGAUUUGCUCAGUUGAGAAAC